rnacentral:rRNA from 1 species
CCCUUAGAUGUCCUGGGCCGCACGCGCGUUACACUGAUGCAUUCAACGAGCUUAUAACCUUGGCCGAGAGGCCUGGGCAAUCUUGUUAACGUGCAUCGUGAUAGGGAUAGAUUAUUGAAAUUAUUAAUCUUGAACGAGGAAUUCCUAGUAAACGCAGAUCAUCAAUCUGCAUUGAUUACGUCCCUGCCCUUUGUACACACCGCCCGUCGCACCUACCGAUUGGAUGGUCCGGUGAAGUUCACAGAGUGGCGGUUCGUGGAGUUGCUCGCGAAGUGAAAUGGACCUCACGAUUUAGAGGAAGGAGAAGUCGUAACA